rnacentral:rRNA from 1 species
GACGUAGGGGGCCAGCGUUGUUCGGAAUUACUGGGUGUAAAGGGUUCGUAGGCGGGUCUUUAAGUCAGGGGUGAAAUCCUGGAGCUCAACUCCAGAACUGCCUUUGAUACUGAAGAUCUUGAGUUCGGGGGAGGUGAGUGGAACUGCGAGUGUAGAGGUGAAAUUCGUAGAUAUUCGCAAGAACACCAGUGGCGAAGGCGGCUCACUGGCCCGAUACUGACGCUGAGGCACGAAAGCGUGGGGAGCAAACAGG